rnacentral:rRNA from 1 species
AUGGAAGGCGACAAGAGUUUCCUGGGCAUGUUGAACUUUGGUGUCUCAACACAAGUGCCGGAUAGUCCAGUUGGAGAGCAAGAGUCGCCCAUGCUGCCAACUCAAGAAACAUCUACAACUGUGAAAGGAAAAUCCACCAAGGGGAAGAAUUGGUCUAUUGAAGAGGAUGAUUUGUUGGUGGCAGCAUGGGUGCACACUAGUUUGGAUGCUUUGAUAGGAACAGAUCAAACAUCAAAUUUUUAUUGGAGUAGGAUUUAUGAUUACUACAGCACGCGCAAGAAAGUGUCAUGGCCGGUGCGUGUUCAAAAUGCACUCAACUGUCGUUGGACCACUAUUAAUGAACAAGUGAGCAAGUUUUGUGGAUACUAUCAGCAAAUACUUAAUAUAAACCAAAGCGGAGUGACUAUUUCUCAGCAGCAAGCCCAUGUACUUGUUCUGUACCAGUCCAAAGAUCCUAAAAAAAGGCCAUUUACAUUAAUGCAUUGUUGGUUAGUGUUGGAAAAGCAUCCUAAGUGGGAGAAUCGUGUGAUUUCGAAGGGGCCUCAGAAAAAGCAGAAGAAGACCUCGGAUGCAAGUCCAGGUGCGACUUCUAAUGACAAGGACUUCGAGAGAUGCACUGAUGCUCUUGGAACAGAGACAAGACCUGAUGGUAAUAAGCGGGAGAAAACCCGUUUACAAAAAGCUAAAGCUUCUGCUUCUGAUGCUUUUAGUCCCAAGUUAUCAUUAGAAAAUGUGUGGGCACAAAAGUUAGAGAAGGCUGAGGUCAAAGAGGCCACAAAGAAUGCUCGUUAUGAGCGAGCGUUUGAAUUGCAAGAGAAGCAGAUUGCAUUGCAGGAGAGGCAGAUGCUAAACCAAGAGAGGGAGAUGUCAUACAAGCAAUUUGAGUUAGAAGAGAAGAUCAUGUCCAUGGACACUACUGUUAUGAUUGGGGCUCAACAAGAAUACUACAUGAACAAGCAGAAUGAGAUCGCCGCUCGCCGGUUCAACACAUCGGGUUGA